rnacentral:rRNA from 1 species
AUUGAACGCUGGCGGCAGGCUUAACACAUGCAAGUCGAGCGGAGAUGAGGUGCUUGCACCUUAUCUUAGCGGCGGACGGGUGAGUAAUGCUUAGGAAUCUGCCUAUUAGUGGGGGACAACAUUCCGAAAGGAAUGCUAAUACCGCAUACGUCCUACGGGAGAAAGCAGGGGAUCUUCGGACCUUGUGCUAAUAGAUGAGCCUAAGUCGGAUUAGCUAGUUGGUGGGGUAAAGGUCUACCAAGGCGACGAUCUGUAGCAGGUCUGAGAGGAUGAUCAGCCACACUGGGACUGAGACACGGCUCAGACUCCUACGGGAGUCAGCAGUGGGGAAUAUUGGACAAUGGGGGGAACCCUGAUCCAGCCAUGCCGCGUGUGUGAAGAAGGCCAUAUGGUUGUAAAGCACUUUAAGCGAGGAGGAGGCUACUGAGACUAAUACUCUUGGAUAGUGGACGUUACUCGCAGAAUAAGCACCGGCUAACUCUGUGCCAGCCGCCGCAGUAAAAC